ensembl:lncRNA
AGUGAUUAUUAUUUUCUUCUGGAUAUGUUUGUGUGUGUGUGUGCAUUUCUUUGCAUUUGCUAUAAUGAGCAGGUAGUAAUUUUGUAAACAGAAAGAUAAAAACCCCACUGGUAAAUCUGACUUUUCAGUUUUCAGGGUAAGACUCCUAGGAAUUUGGAAGCUGAGAUUUGGGGCAAGUAUUUAGGAUUUGCUGUGUCACCUCCCGGCUAUGACAGUCCUUAAUUAAUGGAGAUGAUGGAGAACAGCUUGCUGGGCCGAGUGGCAGGAGCCAUGCAGCUGCCGGGGGCUGGAGAGGGUCAGGAAGCUUCAUCAAUCUGGGACACAUGACGUGCUUGGUGGUGGCGGAGCCUGACGCAUCCCUCUUCAUCGACAUUGUGUCAAUAGGAGCAGAGGCAUUUAGCUGUGUAAACACAGGGCUUGAGUGGCAGCACCCUAAAUGCUUAGCUGAUAGAUCUGGAAUUACAUACAGACCCAGAAACUGGAGUUGGAAAACUUUCUGGGAGCACCUAUUCCCUGCCAUCCCGGUGAUCCCCUUCCGGAUGGAGGGUGUGGAGCGCAGUACAUUCGCUUCUGCAGAGCCUCCCUCAUCCAAUCCUGUUUCAGGAAGGCAGAUUGGAGAGGGAUUCGUUCAAGUGUGGCUGAGCGUGUAGAUUGCAGGAAACGGGGGUGAAGUAUAUUCCCAGAUAAGUCUACAAUAAACAGCUGGAAUUGGCUCAUACCUGGGAGCUUUGAAGAAAUUUAAAUGAGAAAUGGUGGCAUUUUGGUCCAGAGGUGCAGUGGGUCCCCAUAUGGCCACAGGACUACAGGACCCUAAUGCCAUUCCGGAGUUUCACCGCCCCACCUGGUGAGUAGGGAGAAGGCAGCUGGGGUGAUUAAUCAAGUGAGGGAUCAGUGAACACCUAAACAAAUCUAACCCACCAGAGGAAAGAAAAAAUGAUUCUUCUAAUGGGGAAUCAUGCCUCCCCGAUUCAAUGAGUUUUUCUGAGUAAAAGAAUGGAGAAUUCAGGGAGUUAAGUCUCAUGGCAGGUUUUCAAAACUGUGUGACAUUGUUUCCUCCAAAAAUGGUUAAAAAUCCUUGCGCCGCAGGGCAUCUGCAUUAAAAUACAUUGGUUUUUGGGACAGAAACCAAAAGGUAGGAUUUAACAAUUAUGACUUAGAUGCAGAGUUACAUUUCUGCAGAGAGUGGCCUGCUGAGCUUAUGGGAAAGGCUGCAAGAAAAUCCCCAAACCAAGGUGAGCCAGCAGCAAAGAGAAGGGCGGACUUCAAGGGUAAAAAUGUCCAGGGAUGUGGUUAAAGGAAAAUGGCCAGUAAAGAGGGUGUUUCAUACAGUUGCCAGCUUGUUCUCUUGAUGCAGCCACAAAAGGCUACAAUGGAAGGUGAAAACCAAGCCAAAGGCAUGCCACUUCCGCCCAACACAGGGCUUGUUCAUCUUCUCAAGGGACCGGCCCCACUGCAUGAAGUCAGUCCCCAGAGACAGCACAUUCUGUUUGCAUAGCACCCGCUGCAGUGGGGCCAAUGGAUGUAGCCCCAGUGACCACCGCAGUCACAACAGGGGCCUCUGCAUCUUGAGCCUUGGGCCUCUGUGUCUUCACAAAGAUACCCAGAGUGGCCCUUGAGGAUCAGCUCAGCCUGGCUGGAGUCCCACUGCACUGCUCCCUCCCAAAUGGCUUUUGGGUCCCAUCCUCUGCCUUCCACUGUUUCCUUCCCCUGACACCUUGUCAGUCAAAUGUGAUCUUAGACUGGACAGAUUGGGGCGGGCGGUGCUCUGCUACAGCUAAUUGUUUUGCAAAUUUCCAACCUCUGUGUCCCUGUACUUGGCUUCUAUCCAGCCCACCCAUGCCACCAACACAUGCCAGGAGAAGAUGUGAUAAAAUCUGAAUGUUUGUGCCCUCGGAAUCGCAUGUUGAAAUGCGACCUCCAAUGUUGGAGGUGGGGCCUGGUGGGAGGUGUUGGGGUCAUGGGUGAUGGAUUCCUCAUGAAUGGCUUGGUGCCCUCUCCAUGGUAAUGAGUGAGUUGUUGUUCUGUUAGUUCACACAAUAGCUAGUCGUUUAAAAGAGUCUGGCUCUCUUUUGCUUUCCUUCUCACCAUGUGACACGCCUCUCCCCCUCUGCCUUCUUUCCACCAUGGUUGGAAGAUUCCAGAGGCCUCUUCCAGAAGCUGAGCAGAUGCUGGCGCCGUGCUUGUACAGCCUGCAGAAUCGUGAGCCAAAUAAGCCUCUUUUCUUUAUGUAUUACCCACCCUCAGGUAUUUCUUUAUAGCAAUGCAAAAUGGCCCAAGACAGGAAGACACAUCUGGCUGCUCUGGACUGUAGACGAUGGCAUCGUGGAGUCUGUUUUCACCAGUCCGCUUUUUGCUUCUUGUCCUCACCUGGCUUUGUUACAUGGAGCCUUUCCCAUACCUGUUCCCAUAGGGCCUGCCUCUCCUCGGCCAUGAAAAAAACCCAGUGUGAUGGUGGUGAAUAUAUUUAAGGCUGCCUUUGCCACAUUAAAUUCUCCAACCAAUAUUACCCACCUCUCCCCACCAAAAUAACUUGUUUGAAGACAUUUUAGAAAUGCUGGGUAAACAAAAUGAAACACACUGCAAAUUGUAAGACUUCUCAGAACCUUUAAUUUACAGGCAUACACGGUGACUUCGUGGAACUGAACUUAUUUUUUAUGAUGCCUUCUCCAGACUUCUUGGGACAUGGUGCCUGUAUUAGCUGCAUGACCAGUAGACACCGUUUAGCUGCCCUCCUGCCUGAAGACAUCACUUGGUGUAUGUUCUAGGAGGGAGUGCCAGAGGGAGGAAAAAAUCAUUCAAUCCCCCGAAGAGCAGAGUGGAUGAUAUCAUUUUAGACCAGGAAUUAGAAGAUAUGGAUUCUGACCAGGCGCGGUGGCUCAUGCCUAUAAUCGCAGCACUUUGGGAGGCCGAGGCAGGAGAAUCACUUGAAUCUGGGAGGUGGAGAUUACAGUGAGCUGAGAUCAGGCCACUGCACUCUAGCCUGGGUGACAGAGUGAGACUCCAUCUAAAAAUAAU